AAGCUCACACAAUUUUGUUCAUAUUAUUGUUCACAAGUAAGAGAAUAUAACGUUAAAUUAGAGGAACUUUUCUCCGGGUCUUCGUUGAAGGUGGGAGCGUCAUCGGUGGAACGUUCUCUGGGGUUUCUCCGGCGAUUGCACCUGCACGUUGCUUCUCUCGUGCACGUUUCUCUGUGUCUACACGAGAGAGUGAGAGAAGCCAUUGCCCCGUUGAUCCACUGAUGAUCUGUUUACAGGUUAUGUGGAAAAGCCUGUGCUUGAUGGAGAUGUAAAGCAGAUGACCACAGCAUCCCAGGUCCCAAGAGGGGACUGUUUUAGUAAUUUUCUACUGGGCAAACUGAAUUACUCAAGAUUAGAAAAACCUGUGCUUGUGGAUCUACAUUAAAUGACCAUGGCAACCCAGGUGUGGAAAUAGGAGACUGUUUUUACUUUUAAAUUUGUGUAGUCUAAGAUGGACGAUUCUUCUGACACCAUAUGAAUGCAUACGGUCGUCUGGCAGAAGCUAGGUAAUUUAGAUUAUAAAGUUAUAAGUAUGGAUAUUUUUCUUACACAAACGCAUCUCUUCGCUUCAGAAGGCCUUUUAUUAAAGGAUUAGUUAAUCUCAAAAUGAUAAUUUACUCACCCAUGCUAUCCAAGAAGUUCAUGUCUUUCUUCAGUGGAAAAGAAAUUACGUUUUUUGAGAAA